GGGGGCGCGCCUGACCUCCACAUUCCAGCACCAGCUGCGGGAGACUGGGGACAAGUGGCCUGCAGUAAACUGGGGACCACAGGGCGCUGCAUUCCAGCUGGACAGCAACCUCCACCGAUAUGGCUUUCAUGAAUCACCACUCAGGCUGGGGUGGGCUUUCGAGUGAUGCAGCUGCCUCUGAGUCACCCACACUCCUGUACAGCAAUGGGGACAGCAGCGUGCAUUCGGUGGAAACUACUUCAGGCUGCAUUUCAUCCUUCCCCAGGCUAGCAUUAUUCGCAUGAGACGGUGACAUGUACAUUGUGGAAGAACUGGGCAGUGAGGAGGAAUCAGAGCGUACCACGCUGACACCUACUCACAAUAACCACUCCACUGACUCUGUGACUAACUCAUAGCAUCAGUGGAUAGUGAUGCUGAUUUACUGUUUGUUUUAUUCGCUUCUAAUUUGUUACUUAGAAUCAAAGCUUUUUUAAAAAAAGCUAGCAUACUUUAAAUAAACCCCUUGUGAACCCUAA
ensembl:lincRNA Gm28982 predicted gene 28982